rnacentral:sRNA from 1 species
ACGUGACUUUUGCUCAUGGCGGCGGCGGUGUUGGUGGCGCUCGGCGGCCGGAGCCGGAUCCUGUAGCCGGGUGUGGGCCCGUGUCUGUCCGUCCCUCCUUCGGCCCCCUCUCUUGUCUUCCGGAGUGUGGCUGGCGGAGCUGGGAUGGCGGAACGAGGCCUGGAGCCGUCGCCGGCCGCGGUGGCGGCGCUGCCGCCUGAAGUGCGGGCGCAGCUGGCGGAGCUGGAGCUGGAGCUCUCGGAGGGGGACAUCACCCAGAAGGGCUAUGAAAAGAAAAGGUCCAAACUCCUAUCUCCUUACAGCCCGCAGACACAAGAAACUGAUUCAGCAGUACAGAAAGAACCUAGAAACCAGACACCUGCUCCAUCUGCAGCUCAAACUUCUGCUCCCUCUAAGUACCACCGAACUCGAUCCGGGGGAGCCAGGGAUGAGCGCUAUCGAUCAGAUAUCCACACAGAAGCAGUUCAGGCUGCACUGGCAAAGCAUAAAGAACAGAAGAUGGCUUUGCCCAUGCCAACCAAAAGGCGAUCCACAUUUGUUCAGUCUCCUGCAGAUGCCUGCACGCCUCCUGACACAUCUUCGGCCUCUGAGGAUGAGGGCUCUCUGAGACGCCAAGCUGCGCUCUCUGCUGCCUUGCAACAAAGCUUACAGAAUGCUGAGUCCUGGAUCAACCGUUCAAUUCAGGGAUCGUCCACUUCUUCAUCCGCAUCUUCUACGCUGUCCCAUGGAGAGGUCAAAGGAACCAGUGGGUCUCUAGCUGAUGUAUUUGCCAAUACUCGAAUAGAGAAUUUCUCUGCUCCUCCUGAUGUCACUACAACUACCUCUUCCUCCUCAUCAUCUUCCUCAAUUCGCCCAGCAAACAUUGACCUGCCCCCCUCGGGGAUAGUUAAAGGCAUGCACAAAGGAUCCAACAGGUCUAGCCUUAUGGAUACAGCUGAUGGUGUUCCUGUCAGUAGCAGAGUAUCUACAAAAAUCCAGCAGCUUUUGAACACUCUGAAACGACCCAAAAGGCCUCCCUUAAAGGAAUUUUUUGUGGAUGACUCUGAAGAAAUUGUGGAAGUACCUCAGCCAGACCCCAACCAGCCCAAGCCGGAGGGACGGCAGAUGACCCCUGUGAAAGGAGAGCCUUUAGGAGUCAUCUGUAACUGGCCUCCUGCUCUUGAAUCUGCCCUGCAGCGCUGGGGUACCACUCAAGCAAAAUGCUCCUGUCUGACUGCACUGGACAUGACAGGGAAACCAGUUUACACUCUUACAUAUGGUGAGUCUGCAAGAUUCCAGAUCCUUCCCUCCUGAGAGUUCUUCAGAAUAUCAUGGGUAGCGUUUCUAUCUAGAUACUUAGCAGUUGCUGGCCAUUAUGUUUCAGUAGAUUUUUUCAAUAAUUUAAAAGGAUCCUAAGUUCUAAGUAAAGCUCUUGCCAAAUAUUUUCAUUUGCUAAAGCAACAUUUGCAAGCCAGCUAAUAUUUAAAAGACAGCAAAAAGAAGAGAGACUUUGUACAUCCAUAGAUGUUUUAACAUUACAAGAGGAUUUUAGAAAAACAUUUGGUAUUAAUGAUGUAUGGUGAAAAUCAGAUGGUUUUAUUUAACAGUUGAAACUGAUUACUUGUUAAAUCUUUAUUCCAUCCUGCUUCUUGAUUAUAAUAGGUACAAAAUUCUGUAAUGAACAAAGAAUGAGUACUUUUCCGUUUAAUUUUGCAUACCAGCUAAAAUUUUUCUUUUUAAAAUAACUUCAAGGAAAAAUGGGGUCAACCCUGGGCUAUGAGAUUUUGUACUAGUUUGUUCAAACAGAUUCCUUUUCUCCUUUGCAAGUGGAGCACGGUGUCCAUAGACCUAGAUAGAAAAUAAUCUUUGAGGAAAAACAAGGUUUUAUUUAAAGAAUUAUGCAGGUUGACAUAGUUUAAACUUUGGAUGCCCCUCUGAAUAAAUUGUAUAUAAAAUAACAUAGGUAUUUAAAAUAACAUGAUUUCCCUUUUCGUUAUUUCAUAAUCUAAAAUAGGAAUUUCUAAGAGUGGUUGAGGGGAGGGAGUAGGAAAAGAAAAGCAUUUUUUGUUUGUUUUUGCCAAAAUUGUUUUAACAUUCACCUCAGAAGCUGUAUAUACAUUUCAUUCAUAUAACCCUUAAAGAAGGCAUUUAGCUGGCCAAAUCUUUGCAUGUUUAUUUAACAUCUAUGAAUACAUCCACAUAUUCAUACAGAUAAUUUCCAUUUUAGUGUUUGUUUUCACUAAAUUACAGUGGUAUGGAAUGUUUAAUCAUUUGAGUCAUGUUUUUGCUUUGCAGUUUCCUCAAGUAUCUGAUACCACCUAUGUAAGUGGUUUUUCAGGAAAAGCUUAAAACAUUUCUGAAGAUAUUUGUAAAUUUUUUAAAAAGCUGGCUGGGCACGGUGGCUCAUGCCUGUAAUCCCGACACUUUGGGAGGCUGAGACAGGUGGAUCACCUGAGGCCAGGAAUUUGAGACCAGCCCGGACAACAUGGUGAAACCCCAUCUCUAUUAAAAAUACAAAAAUUAGCCGGAUGUGGUGACACGCACCUGUAGUCCCAGCUCCUUGGGAGGCUGAGGCAAGAAUUACCCGAACAGGGAGACAGACAGAGGUUGCAGUGAGCCGAGAUUGCACCACUGCACUCCAGCCUGGGCGACAGAGUGAGACUCUGUCUUUAAAAAAAAAAAAAAAAAAAAAAAAA